GGCGGAGCGGAGCCCCGCCCUGGGUUAUGUAAGCGACCGCGCUGGGCCGUUUCUCUUUCUUUUCCGGACCCUGCAGUGGCGCCUAAAGUCUGAGAGAGGGAAGUCGCCUCUGUGCUCAGCCCCACAGUCUUCGUUAUAACCUCACGGUGCUGUCCUGGGAUGGAUCUGUGCAGUCAGGGUUUCUUGCUGAGGUACAUCUGGAUGGUCAGCCCUUCCUGCGCUAUGACAGGCAGAAAUGCAGGGCAAAGCCCCAGGGACAGUGGGCAGAAGAUGUCCUGGGAAAUAAGACAUGGGACAGAGAGACCAGGGACUUGACAGGGAACGGAAAGGACCUCAGGAUGACCCUGGCUCAUAUCAAGGACCAGAAAGAAG
rnacentral:sRNA from 1 species